UCUUCGCUAGUAUAUCGGUUAGUACACGCGCCUGUCACCAUAUGUUGAUGGCCGCGCGAAAGCUGGGUUCGACUCCCAGGCGAAGAG